CAGCAGCCACGGUAAUACGGAGGGCGCGAGCGUUACCCGGAUUUACUGGGCGUAAAGGGCGUGUAGGCGGCCUGGGGCGUCCCAUGUGAAAGGCCACGGCUCAACCGUGGAGGAGCGUGGGAUACGCUCAGGCUAGAGGGUGGGAGAGGGUGGUGGAAUUCCCGGAGUAGCGGUGAAAUGCGCAGAUACCGGGAGGAACGCCGAUGGCGAAGGCAGCCACCUGGUCCACUUCUGACGCUGAGGCGCGAAAGCGUGGGGAGCAAACCGGAUUAGAUACCCGCGUAGUCCCUGUCUCUUAUAC
rnacentral:rRNA from 1 species